GCACGGCCUCCCAAACUGACUCAUUACCUCGACAGGGUAGCAACUUCCAAAACAAAACUUUUUCAACCAAGGAAAAUAUAACUAUGGGGAGGAAAACAUUUCAGUAUCAGGCCUCCUGGGACCCAAGGAAAUGUACUGAACGUUUGUCAGGGAAUGAUGCUGCCCUGAUUCCACAGGCUUCACUGAGAGCACAGGGAAGACAAUGCCUGGCACUUGGCUCCAGCCAGACCAACAUGGCCCAAGUGAGGUCCAGCUGGUGCUCAAGUGGCCCCAAACUUGAAAGAGUAAAAUGAGUGUCCAGUACCAUUCUUCAAGGUAGGGCCCACAGCGGUGUGAUAAAUAUCCUAUAUAAGUGGAGGCCCCAUAUUCUGUCCUCUGCCCAUCUCUCAACUUCCCUUAUACCCCAGAAGAGAUGCCCAUUGGAGGCUUGCUGUCUGGUGAAAUGUCUGCUUGCUUCACUCCUGGAUUCUGGGAAAUGGCUAAUAGAGUACAUCCCAUACUUAAUAAUGGUGCCCCUGGAGUUGUGCAAUGCUUUGGCUAAUUCCAGGCCACUCUAGGGAAGGGAUCUUAGGGUAGUGAUUGGGCAGGACCUGAGAGAACAGUUGGAGAGCAGUGCUGGUGCCAAGUCAGGGUGCCAGGGAAGGGCCAAGAGAUAUUCCACACCCCAUCCACUGUGAUUCCACGACAGCCAAGGACACAGGAAUUGAGAUAGAUGGGACUCAUUUCUGGGAGAGACUGCGGUCAGAGUGAGGCAGAAGGAGGAAUGGUUGGGGGUAAUGGCAUUGGGAAGGGAUGCUGGGCACAGAUUCCUCAGUUACUUUCUUUCUCCACUUUCCUGUAGCUAUGGUAGCCUACAUGCCACUUAUCUACCACCACUCACCCUCCGAGAAGACCAAGGAUAGCACAAGACACAUCACAAGCCAGAAACACUCUGAGAAGAAUCUCUACUCAUAUAUGACAGAACUCCUCCUCAUCCAUCACAAAUUCAUGAAACAGCCCUGAACCCAAAGGUCAAGUUACAGAGCCAGCUGCGGAACUGGGGGUGGCUCUUCAGGUUGCCCUGCCUCAGCCACACGUGAGUUGUGCCCAACCCACAGCAGGUUGGCGGGUUUGAACCCUUGUGUCUACGACUCCGUGUUGACACAAAAGCUCUUCUAUGCCCUGAACGGGGAAGAACACUGGCCAACUCUCACCUCCGACCAACUCUAUCCUAAGAAAAAAAAAAGAAAAAAAAAAAAAAAAGGUGGGGGGGGGGUACCUUGAACCUGUAACUUUUGGAGUUUUAACAUUCAAACUAUUUGAAAAGGGAUGGGGACACAAUGGGGGCGGG
rnacentral:lncRNA from 12 species